rnacentral:rRNA from 1 species
AGGCGAAAGGAGGGCGAAGGGCCUGGGGAUUAGGUGGGGGGCGAUGGUGAAGCUGAAUUAGUGGGCGUGAGGCGGGCGCAGGCGUGUGGGUAAGACAGGCGUGAAGUCCCCGGGAUUAACCUGGGAACGUCGCGUGGGACUGCCAGGCUAGGGUACGGCAGAGGGGGGUGGAAUGCCACGUGUAGCAGUGAAAUGCGUAGAGAUGUGGAGGAACACCAAUGGCGAAGGCAGCCCCCUGGGUCGAUACUGACGCUCAUGCACGAAAGCGUGGGGAGCAAACAGGAUUAGAUACCCGUAGUC